rnacentral:rRNA from 1 species
GACAGAGGGUGCGAGCGUUGUUCGGAAUUACUGGGCGUAAAGCGUGCGUAGACGGUUAUGUAAGUCAGGUGUGAAAGCCCCGGGCUCAACCUGGGAAUGGCAUUUGAGACUGCAUAGCUAGGGUGCGGAAGAGGGAAGCGGAAUUUCCGGUGUAGCGGUGAAAUGCGUAGAUAUCGGAAGGAACAUCAGUGGCGAAAGCGGCUUCCUGGUCCAGCACCGACGUCAGGCACGAAAGCGUGGGGAGCAAACAGG